rnacentral:rRNA from 1 species
AGAGUUUGAUCCUGGCUCAGGAUGAACGCUGGCGGCGUGCUUAACACAUGCAAGUCGAACGGGGAUGCUUAUGGAAGGAGUGCUUGCACUUUGGAAAUGAGUAUCUUAGUGGCGGACGGGUGAGUAACGCGUGGGUAACCUGCCCCAUACCGGGGGAUACCACCUGGAAACAGGUGCUAAUACCGCAUAAGCGCACGGGAGCGCAUGCUCCUGCGUGAAAAACUCCGGUGGUAUGGGAUGGACCCGCGUCUGAUUAGCCAGUUGGCAGGGUAACGGCCUACCAAAGCGACGAUCAGUAGCCGGCCUGAGAGGGUGGACGGCCACAUUGGGACUGAGACACGGCCCAAACUCCUACGGGAAGCAGCAGUGGGGAAUAUUGCACAAUGGGGGAAACCCUGAUGCAGCGACGCCGCGUGAGUGAAGAAGUAUUUCGGUAUGUAAAGCUCUAUCAGCAGGAACGAGACAAGACGGUACCUGACUAAGAAGCCCCGGCUAACUACGUG